rnacentral:lncRNA from 1 species
GUGGUGUUAUUGCCUAUGAGACAAAAAUAGAUCCAUCAAAAUUCAAAUACAGUUGUUUAAACACUCACAGGCAACCGUACGGCCUUUCAACAUGAGAAAAAUCCCAUACCGUAUAUAGUUUGUCAUACAAGGCAUCAACAUGGUUUUUUUUUGUGGGUUGUUUUUUUUAUCGGCAGUCGUUAGUUUAUUCAACUUUUUUUCUGUACGUUUUGUGAUAUCAGCUGUUCGAUCGUGACGUUUGAAGACUUUUGAGGACUUGGCAGAAAUCAACAAUGUAGAAUAGAAUUCGUCAUGACAUAUUCUAGAGGUUAACAUAUCUAAUUAGUACAGAACUUCACUUUCUCUUCCACUUGCCUUUUA